UUAAACACAUAUAUAUAGGAUUUGAGGCUUCGAUGUUGAUGACAAACAAAGAGAUGAAAUUCAAUUUCUUUGUUACAAUAUCUCAUAAUUACAUACAAACACAAUAUGCUAUCUGAUCCACAGUUUCUUAUGCAGGAAAGUUCAAAUGAUUAUGAAGAACCGUUUGUUGAUGCCAUUUUCUUGUUAAAAGAUACGUCGAGAACCCAUCCCACUCUUUAUCGCUUAUAAAUGUGGUGUGGUUUUGAGUUGUGAUAUGGCCUAUUGAAUUGAUGACUACAAGGAGUAUAGGUAUGACAUAAAUAUACAUUUGCGUUGGCGAAUUGAUCCUUUGGUGGAUUGGUGAUGUCUUCACAUACAGUAAAACAAGGUGCAAAUCUUUUACCCUCUUAUAUAAUGGAAUAUAAUGGAAGUGUGUUGUUUGUUUUCUUUGUAUCUUAUCGUUAUUAUACUUUAAUAUUUAAUAAACAAUGUUAGUUUUAUCACCGCUCUACCGUCGUACUGGCGGCACCGUCAGCCACUACUGCAACACUUCAUGUCCAGAGCGUGCCGCAUGUAUAGUGAUGUGUAAUUAUCCCUUCUUAUAAGCAUUUGUUCGUCGAAAUUCGAUUACAUAUGUGUUUCUUUUCUGGUUUGCUGGUGCUUUUCUUCAUUAAUGGCUGCUCAAUUGAUGUUCUUCUUAACCUGGAUUAUGCUUGGUUUGUUAUUUUUGGUGACAUAGCGACAAUUGUGAAGGUGGUUCGCGGUGGUUAAUAGCCGCACCUUUGGGUGGCGGUACAGGGGAGAUUGGUGGUGACGACUGCUAGAACUAAGGUUCCAGCGAGGUUCCAAGUAGCCGAUUUCGGCCCCAACGAGUGAAUCCCUGUCGUUGGUAGGGUUGGUCGUCAGUGCCGGUGGUGUUCGUCGCCGACGUUGUCUUCGUGCAAGCAGUAAAAGUUGUUGAAACUUUGUCUUCUUUUGAGGUUUGCUUCUAUUUCACUUAUUUCGUCUAUUAUUUUUAGAUUUGUGUUGUACUAUUUCAUGUUUAAUCAGUAUAUUCGUAAAACGAAACCCACUGUGCACGUAGCUAAAUAUGUAAAAUAGUGGUUGUCUGAUGUAGAUGUAAAUUUUGAAAGUAAUGUUGAUUGUUGAGUACUCAUAUGUUAAACCAUGAUGACUUUAUUGUUUGGGUGCUAUUGCGAGUGGUUCUUCAGAUCUAUUUAUUAAAGUUAUUCCCUUUCUCCUCUCACUGACAUUGU